AUACGGAGGGUGCAAGCGUUAUUCGGAAUCACUGGGCGUAAAGGACGCGUAGGCGGGUUGGCAAGCCAGAUGUGAAAUCCUACAGCUUAACUGUAGAACUGCAUUUGAAACUGCUAACCUAGAGUAUGGGAGGGGGAGAUGGAAUUAGUGGUGUAGGGGUAAAGUCCGUAGAUAUCACUAGGAAUACCGAAAGCGAAGGCGAUCUCCUGGAACAUAACUGACGCUAAGGCGUGUAAGCGUGGGGAGCAAACAGGAUUAGAAACCCCAGUAGUCC
rnacentral:rRNA from 1 species